rnacentral:tRNA from 1 species
GCCCCUGUAGUUAAGUGGAUAUAACAAGUCCCUCCUAAGGAUUAGUCACGCGUUCGACUCGCGUCGGGGGUGCCA